UACAGAGGGUGCGAGCGUUGUCCGGAAUCACUGGGCGUAAAGGGUGCGUAGGCGGGUCUUUAAGUCAGGGGUGAGAUCCUGGAGCUCAACUCCAGAACUGCCUUUGAUACUGAGGAUCUUGAGUACGGGAGAGGUGAGUGGAACUGCGAGUGUAGAGGUGAAAUUCGUAGAUAUUCGCAAGAACACCAGUGGCGAAGGCGGCUCACUGGCCCGUUACUGACGCUGAGGCACGAAAGCGUGGGGAGCAAACGGG
rnacentral:rRNA from 1 species